ACAGAGCAAUGAAAAUUGCUUUGGGAGUAGCACUGACUACUGAAUGCAAAUUGAUGUGUGGAAAGGACUAUUGAGCGUUGAGGGACCAUAUUAGCGGCAACUAGAUAAAGAAUUCUAGAAUUAAGAAUUUUAUAUUGUGGGUCCAUUUGGAUAAAUAAGAAGUUGAAAUUAAUAGGUAUGUAAAUUUGAUACUAAUGUUGGUGUUCAUGAUUUUAUACUUUCUGUUUAUGAUGGCACAAAGUCAGUUCGUUUGGAUCAUGGACCUUAUCAAAUGUUCUUUCCAAGAUUGUGCUUAUGGUCGUGGUUCAGUGGGGGUAGUGAAGGGUCGCAUUAUCUCACCAAAUCAGCAGUUU
rnacentral:misc_RNA from 1 species